GACGAACGCUGGCGGCGUGCUUAACACAUGCAAGUCGAACGGGGACUUCGGUCCUAGUGGCGAACGGGUGAGUAAAGCGUAAAUAACCUACCUUUAAGAUGGGGACAACAACUCGAAAGGGUUGCUAAUACCGAAUGUUGUAAAUAACUCGCAUGAGGGAUUUACUAAAGAUUUAUCGCUUAAAGAGGGGUUUGCGUCCGAUUAGCUAGUUGGUGGGGUAAAGGCUUACCAAGGCGACGAUCGGUAACCGGUCUGAGAGGAUGAACGGUCACAUUGGAACUGAGACACGGUCCAGACUCC
rnacentral:rRNA from 1 species